rnacentral:lncRNA from 1 species
GAAGAUAUGGAUUCAUACAUCACUGUAGCAACGUUUACAUCAAGAAAUACAGGGGUGAGACCAGCAAAACAUGCCGGCCAUCCUAAAAUGGCCCAAGUGAUGAAGGUCUUCUUGACGGGCUUGCAAACUUUCCUGCCAAAAAUUUGAGACCAUGCUCAACUAAGUAAGAAUUUGUUUAAUUUAUAUUUUAAAAUUUGCAAAAAUAUAUGUUGGUUUCCAAUAA